GUGGGGAAUCUUGCGCAAUGGGCGAAAGCCUGACGCAGCCAUGCCGCGUGAAUGAUGAAGGUCUUAGGAUUGUAAAAUUCUUUCACCGGGGACGAUAAUGACGGUACCCGGAGAAGAAGCUCCGGCUAACUUCGUGCCAGCAGCCGCGGUAAUACGAAGGGGGCUAGCGUUGCUCGGAAUUACUGGGCGUAAAGGGCGCGUAGGCGGACAGCUUAGUCAGAGGUGAAAGCCCAGGGCUCAACCUUGGAAUUGCCUUUGAUACUGGCUGUCUUGAGUUUGGGAGAGGUGAGUGGAACUCCGAGUGUAGAGGUGAAAUGCGUAGAUAUAGGAAGGAACACCAGUGGCGAAGGCGACUACCUGGACUGAUACUGACACUGAGGUGCGAAAGCGUGGGGAGCAAACAGGAUUAGAUACCCUAGUAGUCC
rnacentral:rRNA from 1 species